UAAGUGCUUCCAUGUUUUAGUU
rnacentral:miRNA from 2 species